rnacentral:misc_RNA from 1 species
AAGUCGUAACAAGGUUUCCGUAGGUGAACCUGCGGAAGGAUCAUUAUCGAUUUUGCCGUUGGGGACUGUGCUGGCCCUCGGGCAUGUGCACGUCCCCUUCAUUUCCACACACCACGUGCACCUCUAGGCGGCUCUCCCGACGGAAGCCGCCUGUUUUUUCACAUGCGCUUUUUUCGUGUAUAUGGGAUGUCUUGUCUAAAUAGUAACAACUUUCAACAACGGAUCUCUUGGCUCUC